rnacentral:rRNA from 1 species
GACGAACGCUGGCGGCGUGCUUAACACAUGCAAGUCGAACGGAAAGGCCCUGCUUUUGUGGGGUGCUCGAGUGGCGAACGGGUGAGUAACACGUGAGUAACCUGCCCUUGACUUUGGGAUAACUUCAGGAAACUGGGGCUAAUACCGGAUAGGAGCUCCUGCUGCAUGGUGGGGGUUGGAAAGUUUCGGCGGUUGGGGAUGGACUCGCGGCUUAUCAGCUUGUUGGUGGGGUAGUGGCUUACCAAGGCUUUGACGGGUAGCCGGCCUGAGAGGGUGACCGGCCACAUUGGGACUGAGAUACGGCCCAGACUCCUACGGGAGGCAGCAGUGGGGAAUAUUGCACAAUGGGCGGAAGUCUGAUGCAGCAACGCCGCGUGCGGGAUGACGGCCUUCGGGUUGUAAACCGCUUUCGCCUGUGACGAAGCGUGAGUGACGGUAAUGGGGAAAGAAGCACCGGCUAACUACGU